UACGUAGGGUGCAAGCGUUAAUCGGAAUUACUGGGCGUAAAGCGUGCGCAGGCGGUUUUGUAAGUUUGUCGUGAAAUCCCCGGGCUUAACCUGGGAAUGGCAUUGGUGACUGCACGGCUAGAGUGUGUCAGAGGGGGGUAGAAUUCCACGUGUAGCAGUGAAAUGCGUAGAGAUGUGGAGGAAUACCGAUGGCGAAGGCAGCCCCCUGGGAUAACACUGACGCUCAUGCACGAAAGCGUGGGGAGCAAACAGG
rnacentral:rRNA from 1 species